ACCUCUAACACGAAAGGCAUUUCAUUUCUGCAAAGGCUACAAUGACCACAUCACUAAAGUCCCGUUUCUGGAGCUCAGACGUUCAUCUAUGGACCUCCUCGUAUCUCGGGUUCACCAGCUGGAUCGGCACAUAUUUGGAAACAGAUCCAUAAUUUUCAGCAAUGGAUGGAUUUAACCUCUCGGGAUUAAUCGGGCACCUCUGAGGGCCACUGAUGAAGACUAAGAUGCAACUUCUGAAGUCUGCAAAAGGUUUGCAAUGAAGUAAACUGCAUACAAUCCAAGGAGUGGAAAUUCUGAAUGAAAACUGAAAAUGUUCAUAAACGGUUGAGAGGUCCGUGGACGCCUGACAGACAUGUGCUAACUUAAAUGUGCAAUGUAAUCUAUUUGCUUUUGUAAUAAAACAAAUUUUAAUUAGUGCAAUGCAAUUGAUACAUAUCAAGAAAACUGUAAUGUGUAAAAACAUGUUUAAUUUUUUUAUUUUUACUUAAUAAAAUAAUGUAAAAUUGUC